rnacentral:rRNA from 1 species
CCUGCCUGUAAGUUGGGGAUAACUCCGGGAAACCGGGGCUAAUACCGAAUGAUAGAAUGUGGCGCAUGCCACGCUUUUGAAAGAUGGUUUCGGCUAUCGCUUACAGAUGGGCCCGCGGUGCAUUAGCUAGUUGGUAGGGUAAUGGCCUACCAAGGCAACGAUGCAUAGCCGACCUGAGAGGGUGAUCGGCCACACUGGGACUGAGACACGGCCCAGACUCCUACGGGAGGCAGCAGUAGGGAAUCUUCCGCAAUGGACGAAAGUCUGACGGAGCAACGCCGCGUGUAUGAAGAAGGUUUUCGGAUCGUAAAGUACUGUUGUUAGAGAAGAACAAGGAUAAGAGUAACUGCUUGUCCCUUGACGGUAUCUAACCAGAAAGCCACGGCUAACUACGUGCCAGCAGCCGCGGUAAUACGUAGGUGGCAAGCGUUGUCCGGAUUUAUUGGGCGUAAAGCGCGCGCAGGCGGUCUUUUAAGUCUGAUGUGAAAGCCCCCGGCUUAACCGGGGAGGGUCAUUGGAAACUGGAAGACUGGAGUGCAGAAGAGGAGAGUGGAAUUCCACGUGUAGCGGUGAAAUGCGUAGAUAUGUGGAGGAACACCAGUGGCGAAGGCGACUCUCUGGUCUGUAACUGACGCUGAGGCGCGAAAGCGUGGGGAGCAAACAGGAUU